GACGUAGGGCGCGAGCGUUGUCCGGAUUUAUUGGGCGUAAAGAGCUCGUAGGCGGCUUGUCGCGUCGGCUGUGAAAUCCCGUGGCUCAACUGCGGGUCUGCAGCCGAUACGGGCAGGCUAGAGUUCGGUAGGGGAGACUGGAAUUCCUGGUGUAGCGGUGAAAUGCGCAGAUAUCAGGAGGAACACCGGUGGCGAAGGCGGGUCUCUGGGCCAUAACUGACGCUGAGACGCGAAAGCGUGGGGGAGCAAACAGG
rnacentral:rRNA from 1 species